rnacentral:rRNA from 2 species
UACGGGGGAGGCAGCAGUAGGGAAUCUUCCACAAUGGACGCAAGUCUGAUGGAGCAACGCCGCGUGAGUGAAGAAGGCUUUCGGGUCGUAAAACUCUGUUGUUGGAGAAGAAUGGUCGGCAGAGUAACUGUUGUCGGCGUGACGGUAUCCAACCAGAAAGCCACGGCUAACUACGUGCCAGCAGCCGCGGUAAUACGUAGGUGGCAAGCGUUAUCCGGAUUUAUUGGGCGUAAAGCGAGCGCAGGCGGUUUUUUAAGUCUGAUGUGAAAGCCCUCGGCUUAACCGAGGAAGCGCAUCGGAAACUGGGAAACUUGAGUGCAGAAGAGGACAGUGGAACUCCAUGUGUAGCGGUGAAAUGCGUAGAUAUAUGGAAGAACACCAGUGGCGAAGGCGGCUGUCUGGUCUGUAACUGACGCUGAGGCUCGAAAGCAUGGGUAGCGAACAGGAUUAGAUACCCUGGGGUAG